rnacentral:rRNA from 1 species
UACGGAGGGGGUUAGCGUUGUUCGGAAUUACUGGGCGUAAAGCGCACGUAGGCGGGCUGUUAAGUCGGGGGUGAAAUCCCGGGGCUCAACCCCGGAACUGCCUUCGAUACUGGGAGCCUUGAGUUCGAGAGAGGUGAGUGGAAUUCCGGGUGUAGGGGUGAAAUUCGUAGAUAUUCGGAGGAACACCAGUGGCGAAGGCAGCUCUCUGGCUCGAUACUGAAGCUGAGGUGCGAAAGCGUGGGGAGCAAACAGG